ensembl:lncRNA
GGACAACUUUUGUAUGCAUCUUCCAGCAUAAAACACCCUUGAGAAAAAAUAGAAGGCAAGCUAAAAGACAAAGGACCACUAAAGAUUUUAUUAUGCUAUGGGUGUGGUGCCAUAAAUUUUAGGAGAUUCAGGCAAGAGUUGCCAAGCCUGAAUUUAAACAGCAUGUUGUUUUUAAAAGUUGUAACAUUAGUGACGAACAAGUCCGUAUUCUUACAUAAUUAAUCCAGUGUGAAAUAGAGUGACUGGAAGACAUCCAGUGGUUUAAAAAUAACUCAAUCAUUUAUAAGAUCCACAGCGCUAUAGGAUUUAACAUUAAGGCACAGGAAGUGAAGGCAUCUUGGUACGGAGCAUGCUGUUUUAAUUCCACAAAAGCUUUGUGAAUUCGGCUUAACGGAGCUCCCUGCACAACAGCCCUGUGCCACGCAGAAGCGAGGGAGGUUCCUCUCAAGUGGUCACAGGUUUAACGUCUGGGUUUUUGUCAGCGGGAUUUGAUUUCAUUUUUCCUCUCUCCACCAUUUGGAGAAGCCUUUGGCUGGAGAUAUUAUAAAAGAGAUGAUUUUUUUUUUUCUUUUUUUUUUUUUUUUUUAUGGUAACGCUUAACUGGAAAGACUGGGAGGAAGACAAAGCUACACAGGGACCAAAGGAGUGCCUUCAGAUGAAAUGUAAUCAUGUGACUCAAGGCAGAAGCAGGCAAGACGUCUGGAAGGGACUUGAACAUUUAUGCCUCAGUGCUGCUGCUUGACUUCCUCCAGAGAAGGGAGAGCAUGCUUGGAUGUUUGCCAAAAGGGAGAUCACAGUUCUUUCUAAUGCAGACCUUGCAAGGUCUAGCACAAGGCAAAGACACUUGAGCACUGGAAUAGUUUCUUGGAGACUCUGAUGGCUCUUCUGCAUAUGAAUCAAAAAGAUUGAAAAAGACCACCAAGAUCAUCUCGUCCAACCGUUAAACCCAUCGACCUAUUCUCUUUUCACUCUGUCUCAUUAUAAAAACCUUCAUUUACUCCGUAACCCUCUUACCAGGACCUGUGUAGAUGUCAUAUAUUCACAGCCCUGGACUCAGACCAGAAAGAACCUGAGGACAAACAUGCUUACUUCGCUGCAAGCGCCAGCCCCACGUGGGCUGCCCACUGCUGGAGAUGUGUGCACCCAAACCACGUUGCCACAAUCCCCAAAGUUUUUUGCACCACCACUAUUUCUCUGCAAAUCCUUAAGCUGCACCAGCUGACUCCGCCAAACAAAUUAUUUUACAUUUUUUAACUGAAAUGCUUUUUGUUUUUAUUUUAAUGAAUCCCCUAACUCCGAGUUUAAUUAAACUCAUGUUUUUUAAUUAAUUACCAACAAAUGCAAAUAAGGGAAACUACACAAACAUGUAUUCACCGUUCACAGAUAGAUACAGUUGUUGUUUUUUUUAAUCCUCAAGAGUCAGGAUUUGAAAAUCUUUAAGUCUUGAGGGUCACAACCCCCAAAUUAUUUUCAGUUGGGGAUUUAUGAGAAUAUCUUCCUAGUGAAUGGCAGGGAGCUCAAUUGCUUAAAGGAACAUAAAGCAAACUGCAGUUUCAUUAGCUUAACCGAGUUGUUCCAGUUAAACAACGGUACAAGUCAGCAGAAUUAAGCUUCUGUGUAAGUUAUUAGAAGAGAAGUGUAGAAUGUAGGAACUUCUCCAUCAGAAGGGUGUACAGUUAAUAGUCCUAAAUGCUGACAAACACAAAUGCAGGCUUAUUAAGUACUCUCUCUGGUUAUCCAAGUUCAGCUACAACAGAAAUCCUAAAAGGAGGGAAGCAGAGUUCAAGCAACGAAACCCAAAGCUCUGACAGCCAGGAAACACAAACUUAAGGCAUGGAAUAUGCUCAUGCUUAAACCUUGGAAACUGCAAGCACCUCUAGGCAGUGCUCUCCUGGUACUUGCAGUGGCUGCCAGUGCCUGAGGACAUUUCACAGGGGGGUUACCUUCUUUCCUGUGUAAGAAUUAUUAUUUUCAGCAUGAAAUAUUUCAAAAUCUCAUGAAAUAUUACUCUGAAGAGCUUCUCUGGUGACUUUUUUAACUCAAAAUGCCAUAAAAGCAGCCUGUCCCGUUUCCAGAGCUAAUACAUAGAAUUAUUUAAAUUGCUACAGCAAGAAGCCAGGAAUCUUUGUUUCUGUUCCCUUCCUAGGCCUGACAUGGAUGAAUUUGGCCGUGUCCACACGUCCCAUUUAGAUCUCAGAGCCCCAGAAUGACUUCAGUUCACAUACAGAGCUCUCCAGCUUGCUUAACCCUGAGCUGGGCGAUGAGUUCUGACCUUGCUGGAACACAGCCCGGAGCCUAGCUCAGUAUCCCAUCCCUGGCAACAGGCACAGCCAGUAAGAGGCCCCUGGGCACUGUGCUUUCACCUAAAAGCAGCAGGUAAUGCUUGUUUUCCUGCAUGAUAAAAUAAUUUCUUAUGUGCAGCAAAGCUACAUACCUAUGGAGACUGUGUUCUACAACAUAUCCUUCAUUUUUCCACUUCUUGUUAUUUAUAUUAAAUGAUAUUCAGAGUUUUUAUAUGUAUAUACACAUACACUGCAUGUAGGUCACUUCUACUUAUCCCUAUCCCAUCCUCCUCCCUGAAAUAUCAAGCAGAUUUCUCCACCAUUUACUAUGGAGCAGGUCAAGUGGCUCUUUGACAUCAAAGUGUCUGCACUUCCUUAAAAGACCUUAGUGGCCCACAGGAUGCAACGUGUGAAUGCACUCAUUUUUGGUGCUUCUUUCCCCACCAAAAGAAAAAUAAUAUCUUAGAGGCAUGUCUAUAUCAUACAGCUUUGGGACCCUGAUUCUAUCCUGAAACACAGUGUUGUGUGGGUCCGUAGGGAGAGAAAGUCCAUGUAAUUCGACAGAAAUUACAAAGGUCUCCCUGAAGUGUUUCUUUGUAUGUUGCAUGAAGGGAGGAAGAAGGAUGUGGAUGAGCAUUAGUUGUUGAACUGACCCAUUUUGAAGGGAAGGACAGUAAGAAACACUUGGACCCAGUUCUAAUACCCCUUCGGUCUGGAGGCAUG